rnacentral:rRNA from 1 species
GACGAACGCUGGCGGCGUGCUUAACACAUGCAAGUCGAACGGAAAGGCCCUGCUUUUGUGGGGUGCUCGAGUGGCGAACGGGUGAGUAACACGUGAGUAACCUGCCCUUGACUUUGGGAUAACUUCAGGAAACUGGGGCUAAUACCGGAUAGGAGCUCCUGCUGCAUGGUGGGGGUUGGAAAGUUUCGGCGGUUGGGGAUGGACUCGCGGCUUAUCAGCUUGUUGGUGGGGUAGUGGCUUACCAAGGCUUUGACGGGUAGCCGGCCUGAGAGGGUGACCGGCCACAUUGGGACAGAGAUACGGCCCAGACUCCUACGGGAGGCAGCAGUGGGGAAUAUUGCACAAUGGGCGGAAGCCUGAUACAGCAACGCCGCGUGCGGGAUGACGGCCUUCGGGUUGUAAACCGCUUUCGCCUGUGACGAAGCGUGAGUGACGGUAAUGGGUAAAGAAGCACCGGCUAACUACGUG